GGCAGGCUACACAUGCAAGUCGAGCGGAUUAGGGAAGCUUGCUUCCCGAUUUAGCGGCGGACGGGUGAGUAAUGCCUAGGAAUCUGCCUAUUAGUGGGGGAUAACGUUCCGAAAGGAACGCUAAUGCCGCAUACGUCCUACGGGAGAAAGUGGGGGAUCUUCGGACCUCACGCUAAUAGAUGAGCCUAGGUCGGAUUAGCUAGUUGGUGGGGUAACGGCUCACCAAGGCGACGAUCCGUAGCUGGUCUGAGAGGAUGAUCAGCCACACUGGAACUGAGACACGGUCCAGACUCCUACGGGAGGCAGCAGUGGGGAAUAUUGGACAAUGGGCGAAAGCCUGAUCCAGCCAUGCCGCGUGUGUGAAGAAGGUCUUCGGAUUGUAAAGCACUUUAAGUUGGGAGGAAGGG
rnacentral:rRNA from 1 species